rnacentral:lncRNA from 1 species
ACGAUGGAGCACGCACGAAUGCAGAACUUCUGCAUUCGUGUGUGUUUCAUCGUGUCGAGUUUUGUUCAUGCGGUCGAGCUGCCUGGCAUGUUACUGACCGUAAGAGAAAGCUCUUCAAUCGGUAUUAUACGCGGGUACCGGGCGAACAGUCACCAGAUGCCGGCCGUGCGAUUCCAAUAUCUGCGACUCCUUUGUUCAGUGAACACCUUCAAACGUUUCUGCACGUCAGUGAGUAGCAGUGCCGCAAUCCUUUCUCGACGACGCGCUCUGUGGCCCUGGAAAAUGCCUUGACGUUCGGGGAUGCCGGGCGCGGGUAGCUUGGCCAUUCCUCGCUUGGUGCAUCGCUUGAAAACCGACGGUCAACCUGCAGUGUACGCCGCCGGCGUGCUUUCUUGCCAGAGGUAGCAAACAGCAGUGCCACGACUAACAGUGGAGUGCUGACCACGCAGUCCAGAAGGUGGCAGAGGCAAGCAUGCCAUAAGAGGUGCUUAUUCAGGCAGAAGAAAUAAGCAUCUGUAGCCAACGUAAAGGAAGCAUCUUCAAAAAGCAGUGCUACAAGGAUGUGAGCAGCAGUUUCCCAUCAACGAA